CCUACGGGAGGCAGCAGUCGAGAAUCAUUCACAAUGGGGGAAACCCUGAUGGUGCGACGCCGCGUGGGGGAAUGAAGGUCUUCGUAUUGUAAACCCCUGUCAUGUGGGAGCAAAUUAAAAAGAUAGUACCACAAGAGGAAGAGACGGCUAACUCUGUGCCAGCAGCCGCGGUAAUACAGAGGUCUCAAGCGUUGUUCGGAAUCACUGGGCGUAAAGCGUGCGUAGGCUGUUUCGUAAGUCGUGUGUGAAAGGCGCGGGCUCAACCCGCGGACGGCACAUGAUACUGCGAGACUAGAGUAAUGGAGGGGGAACCGGAAUUCUCGGUGUAGCAGUGAAAUGCGGAGAUAUCGAGAGGAACACUCGUGGCGAAGGCGGGUUCCUGGACAUUAACUGACGCUGAGGCACGAAGGCCAGGGGAGCGAAAGGGAUUAGAUACCCCAGUAGUC
rnacentral:rRNA from 1 species